rnacentral:ncRNA from 1 species
AAUAAGUUUAGUUUUGUCUUGAAAUAAGGCUUUUUAAUGGUAAUAUAUGUAUAGUUUUAAAAGUUUAAAAUUUAUCUAAAAGGUAAUUUAAUAUUUUAUUUUCAGUAUUUAAUAUUUUAUUUUAAUUAAUGUUAAUUAAGUUAUUUAAUUUAGAUUUGAAAAAUAAUGUGCCAGCAUUCGCGGUUAUACCUUGUUUUCGAGUUUUAUUUUUUGGUUAAAGUUUUUUUUUAUAAUUUAGAUUUUUAAUUUAUUUGGGUGAAAUUUCAUUUUUAAUUUAUUAGUUAUUUGUCUUUAAAAUUUAGGUUUAAACUAGGAUUAGAUACCCUAUUAUUUCUAAUUUAACAGUUUUAUCCUAGGAUUAUAUUUAUUUUAAAAUAAAAAGACUUGGCGGUUAUUUAAUCUUAUUAGAGGAACCUGUUAUUUAAAUGAUAAUCCACGAUUUUUUUUUACCUUUAUUUUCUUGUAUAUCUCUGUCGUAGAAUGUAUUGUUAAAUUAAUUUUCUUUAUUUUUUAUUAAUUUUAUGUUAGGUCAAGGUGCAGUUAUAUAAUGGAUUUAAUGGGUUACAUUAAUAAGUGUUUUUUUUGAUUAAUUUAUUUGUUUAAUUAUAAAUUUGGAUUUAAAAGUAAUUAUUUUUAUUAAAUUUUUUGAAUUUAGCUCUAAAUAAUGUACAUAUCGCCCGUCACUCUCAUAAAUUGAGAUAAGUCGUAACAAAGUAGAUGUACUGGAAAGUGUAUCUAGAAUCAG